rnacentral:rRNA from 1 species
AAUAUUGGACAAUGGGCGGGAGCCUGAUCCAGCCAUGCCGCGUGCAGGAUGACGGCCCUAUGGGUUGUAAACUGCUUUUAUACGGGAAGAAACGCACCUACGUGUAGGUGUCUGACGGUACCGUAAGAAUAAGGACCGGCUAACUCCGUGCCAGCAGCCGCGGUAAUACGGAGGGUCCGAGCGUUAUCCGGAAUCAUUGGGUUUAAAGGGUCCGUAGGCGGGCCUGUAAGUCAGGGGUGAAAGUUUGUGGCUCAACCAUAAAAUUGCCUUUGAUACUGCAGGUCUUGAGUCAUGGUGGGGUCGCCGGAACAUGUGGUGUAGCGGUGAAAUGCAUAGAUAUCACAUAGAACACCGAUCGCGAAGGCAGGUGACCAACCAUGUACUGACGCUGAUGGACGAAAGCGUGGGUAGCGAACGGGAUUAGA